rnacentral:rRNA from 1 species
AGAGUUUGAUCCUGGCUCAGGACGAACGCUGGCGGCGUGCCUAAUACAUGCAAGUCGAGCGAGCUGAAUUCAAGGAUCCCUUCGGGGUGACUUGUUGGACGCGAGCGGCGGAUGGGUGAGUAACACGUGGGCAACCUGCCCUAAAGACUGGGAUACCACUUGGAAACAGGUGCUAAUACCGGAUAACAACGACUUUCACAUGAAAGACGCUUGAAAGGCGGCUUUAAGCUGUCACUUUAGGAUGGGCCCGCGGUGCAUUAGCUAGUUGGUGAGGUAACGGCCCACCAAGGCGAUGAUGCAUAGCCGAGUUGAGAGACUGAUCGGCCACAUUGGGACUGAGACACGGCCCAAACUCCUACGGGAGGCAGCAGUAGGGAAUCUUCCACAAUGGACGCAAGUCUGAUGGAGCAACGCCGCGUGAGUGAAGAAGGUUUUCGGAUCGUAAAGCUCUGUUGUUGGUGAAGAAGGACGGCAGUAGUAACUGGCUGCCGUUUGACGGUAAUCAACCAGAAAGUCACGGCUAACUACGUGCCAGCAGCCGCGGUAAUACGUAGGUGGCAAGCGUUGUCCGGAUUUAUUGGGCGUAAAGCGAGCGCAGGCGGAAAGAUAAGUCUGAAGUGAAAGCCCCCGGCUUAACCGGGGAACUGCUUCGGAAACUGUCCUUCUUGAGUGCAGAAGAGGAGAGUGGAACUCCAUGUGUAGCGGUGGAAUGCGUAGGUAUAUGGAAGAACACCAGUGGCGAAGGCGGCUCUCUGGUCUGCAACUGACGCUGAGGCUCGAAAGCAUGGGUAGCGAACAGGAUUAGAUACCCUGGUAGUCCAUGCCGUAAACGAUGAGUGCUAAGUGUUGGGAGGUUUCCGCCUCUCAGUGCUGCAGCUAACGCAUUAAGCACUCCGCCUGGGGAGUACGACCGCAAGGUUGAAACUCAAAGGAAUUGACGGGGGCCCGCACAAGCGGUGGAGCAUGUGGUUUAAUUCGACGCUACGCGAAGAACCUUACCUGGGUUUGACAUUCACAGGAAGAGUGCAGAGAUGUAUUCGCCUUCGGGUCUGUGAACAGGUGCUGCAUGGCUGUCGUCAGCUCGUGCCGUGAGGUGUUGGGUUAAGUCCCGCAACGAGCGCAACCCCUAUUUUCAGUUACCAUCGGGUAAUGCCGGGGACUCUGGAGAGACUGCCGUUAUAAAACGGAGGAAGGCGGGGAUGACGUCAAGUCAGCAUGGCCCUUACGUCCAGGGCUACACACGUGCUACAAUGGUCGGUACAAAGGGAAGCGAAGUCGCGAGGCGGAGCAAAUCUCAAAAAGCCGAUCCCAGUCCGGACUGCAGGCUGCAAUUCGCCUGCACGAAGUCGGAAUCACUAGUAACCGCAGGUCAGCUACACUGCGGUGAAUACGUUCCCGGGCCUUGUACUCACCGCCCGUCA